GAGGAGAACUGGUCAGUUCUUUUGCUCCUAUAGUGGGAGACCGAGACAGUUCACCUAGACGUCGUGCCAUUAGUUACGUCGUAGGUUCAUCAGUGAAAGACCAACAAACCACAUCUCAUAGAGGUGACCCUUACAAGAAGGGCCUUAACACUUCUACAACGUCAACUUCUUUAUGGGUCUCUUGAAAAGUCGUAGUUCCCAUCGUCUUCAUUGUUAUUCGGAGUACAGUCCAGAUGCGAAUUGUUCGACGAAGUCGUUUGGCUUCUCUUGUAGACACACCUACCAGGAAAGUACGCGAAGUAGUUCGUACUGAUGACUUAUGACCCUUUCCAAGAGUAGUUGAUUUUAAAGUGCGUCUUCGUAAGGUAGCCAGUACAUAAAAUAGUGUCAAAGACCCGGUCACGUUAGGAGUUUCGCUUACCGUAUUGGUUGAAGGAGAGGGUCAGCUGUCGGUUUAAGAAGACGGUGAGAGAAACGUUGUCUGUAACGUCGUUGGGAUGCUCCAACUCAUGUUGGUUAAAAUGGAGAACACCAUAUUGGCCGAAGUCGGUUUAUAACACAGUGGACGCAACAGAAAGGUCUCGGUCAAAGAGGCUAUUGUUGAUUUUGAACUAAUAGUACGUGUCGAACUUAGUUGAGAAAGAAGUUGAACAUAUAACCUUCUCAAACGGAGACUAGAACAUAACUUUCGAAACUGGAAACGGGUUUGCAAUUUCGAAAAGGUAUACGAAGGAAGAAGGUAAGACCGUACAGUAUUCGACUAUCUGGUUGUGGAGAUUCGAGGACACGUUCCACAGCGAGCGGACACAGCCCGUAACCCAGGAGGGUACCGGAUAAGUCUAGGAACCCAUAGCUCAGGUCGUAACGAGAGACGAGAACAAGAGAUUGGAGUGCCGCGAGGAACUACUCUCGUCAGACCUCUCGACGACGAGCUGAAUUACUUGGGAGACCUAAGAACUUUUAGAAUUGUCCACUGUACAGUUAACUCUUAGACGAGACAGGGACGUUCUUGAGACCAAGUAGGAGUAAUUCGAGUUAGAGGUUGAGGAGGAGACGCGGAAGGAGGACUAUGUUGUAAGGUAGUGGUAGGAGUAGUUUGACACCCAUUAGGGCGUGUAGUUCUUGUGGGCUUCGUUAAUCGACGAAGCGGAGGGUGGAGAGGCCACUCGAGUAGGCGAACUCCCCUGCGGCGCUCUACCCACGUUGGAGUAGGAGGAGACAUUAGUGUUAGGGGCUAUCUGGGUUAGAGGAAGGUCCGGGUCGUCGUCGUCGUGAUGGUUGUCUACCCAAUCAGGAACCACGUAGGAGGUGUGGUGCGACGUAACCGUCUUCCAGGAAAGGACAUAGGACUAGGUGUAGGGAGUCACUCUCUGAGUUGAAUAGAGGGAAAUGGCUUUGAUGGAAGUGCUUGUGGAGGACUAGUGCGAAGUGGUGGAGGAAACGUAACCGAUGAGCAGACGAACGGUAGACGCUAUGUACUUGUUCGGGGAGUGCCGGUGGUGCUUGUAGGAGUUCGAACUGUUUCGUUGGCCACAGGUAAUGUGCCCAGUGGGAGGGGGCCAUGUGGACCAUUUCGAGUCCGAGCGGUGAACUUAAACAGUACCAUAAGAGGCAGAAGGAAGGAGGUCGGGAAAGGACGACAGGUAGGAGGAGUAGGUGUAUGGAGGACGAGGAAGGUACCCGGAACGGACAUAGGGACAGGGAAACGACCUCCGCCAGGACCAGGGAGGCUGGUAAUGGCAGGGCUAGAGGGAGGGCCAGAGACAGCGCUGGUGCCAGAGCUAGGGACAGGGUCGGUACUAGUACAAGUGCCGGAGCCAGUACCAAUGCUAGGACCGGUGCCAGUAGUACACGUGCCAGUGCCAAUACCGACGCUAGUGGUGCGGGCGCCAGAGACAGUGCUGACGCCAGUACCAGUGCUAGGGCAGGCGCAAGUAGUGCGCACGCCAGUACCAGUGCCAGGGCUCUCGCCAGUAGCGCUGACGCCAGGGACCUUCCCCGUCCCCACCAGCGGCGACGUCGUAACCGUAGUGCGAGUUCGAGCUCCGCCUCGAGCGCCCGCGCUAGACGCAGCAGGCCCGCGCUCUCGCGCGCCAUGAACCUCAACCUGACGCUCCGCCGCCUCGAUCCCAAUACCCUCCCGCCGCCCUCCUACCGCACCUACUACCACUCCUCGCACGCCUGCUUCAUCAGCCCCUCCAGCCGCGGCAACCGGAACUCGAACCGCAGCUUUAGCCGCUGGCUCCCCCGCAGCGCGGGCUCGAGCCAUUACUUGAGUCGGUCAUGGAACAGCGGAUGUGGCUACACGCAGAGGUCGAGGCUCGUCUGGAACCUCUGCUCGCUGUCCAUGAGGUUGAAAGCCUCGGGCAGCAGCGGCCCUGGGAGGCGGCGGCCGCCGCGGUACCGAUCACCCACUUACGCCCGAUCCCAAACGACCAGCCAGGACCUUGAUAACCCCAACCUAACCACCCCACCCUGCCCCGCCGAGAAGCCCUGAAGGUUAGACCCUUUUGGCGGAGCGACUUGCCGACUCUGGGGCUUAACUAGGCUGCUUGCUCUCCUCCGUUCAUUUAAAAUGUCGUCUACGGUGGCGUAGGCGAGCCCGACAACCACCUGUGCCCGGCGGGUCCCCCAGGCGAAUUUUCGGGUGAAUUAAUCAGAUAUGCACCUGUGGGUGCCUGCUUUGUAAAUCUAUGCACCUGAUUCACCCGAUGAUUAGGGUGCCACGGGUGUAGCGUGUGAAUCAAAUAGAGAUGAUGAUUAUUUGUUAGUUUGUAUUUGAAGAAAUUUGCGUAGGAUUUUUAUAUGUGCUUGGAUAAUGGUGGCGUCCUAAUCCGGGUAAUUUGAGUUAGGUUGACGAUUAAAACUAGAUUAGACAAAAGACACACGUGAAUCGUUAAAUUCAACUGACUGGCGUGAGGUGGGGCGCAGGCGUUGGAGAGAAGGCACUAAUCGCGGGUGGACAGGUGAGUUAGGGAAGGGGCCAUCCUUCAUCCUUGGGAGGGCGGCGAUGAUCCCUAUACGUUCGGUGGCAGCCCCAGGAGCGCCUGUGUACUCUACGGACGGCAGUGGUGCGUGUGCUCGGUGCCACCCCCUCUCUCCCUCUCCACCGGUCGGUACCGUUCCGCAGCCAGUAGGCCGCUCGCACCUCUUUAACCCUGUCCUCCGCGCUGGCAACCCCGAGCCCCGUACCCCCGCGGGCUACACCGCAAACGACCGCCCAGAUUCUUCCCCGGCCGUCUAGGCCGGCCUCGAUACGUGCACCACACCGCUAACACCAGGCGCGCACGACGAGCACCAUCCCUGUUUCGCCGCUAGCGACCGGAAUAGAUGUUGGGGAAACUCCUGACGCAGUGCGUGUGGGGUGGCUCGAGAUGGUCUAACAGCCACGGUGCGCGAGGGGAGUGGGACGGACUGCGUUGGCCACUGAUGGGAUGGGCAGCGGCCACCUGAUCUGCCGGACCUGCGCCCGCCAUCCGUGGCGGUCGUGAGGUUAGAGGCAGCUGUGGCACCAGAUUUGCUGCGGCGUCUGUUCAGGGGAACCUUGCGGGGUAGGACCUGCUAUAUUAUACCAAGUUCGUAUUAGUGCCACUAUACUAAUAUACCUCAUCUUCCCUCCUUCAACACAGAGUAGUCGUAACACAAGACGUAGAUUUAUUUCGUGUAGGUUCUUAGUGACAGGUUACAGAGAGAAAGCUAACUAUCGUAGCCAUCGUCCUAUAUUGUAGUCCAAUGUCGGAAACACCAUGUCCUUCCUGGCUUCCUCCUUCAACCACUAUAUGUCUCCCUUCAUCUUAACCCUGCUCCCUAUCUCUAUGUUGGUCGUUUUCGCGGCUCCUUGUCAUUCUAAAUAUGAUUCAACAUGAGCUACGGUUUGCCCCUCGUUCAGGUCCUCCCUUGCCUCUCGCGUCUACUCUCACCGCUGAGCGUUAGGGGGCUGCUGCUACUCCUCCUGUCACUACUGAGCCUGCUAUCACUUCUUCAGCUGAGUGGUGGAGCGAGUCUUGUGACUAGGUUUGUCAGAGUUCUGGGAUGUCCACCCGCAUCGUUCCGUCGAGGAGGUUCGUGUGUUCACGUUUUUGUGUGAGCCUGAAGUAGAAGCCUUGGCAGAUUUUUCCGGCGGUUCGUCGGGUACCAGCGGGGGAGUUUCGGAGCCUUCCGGAACGGGUUCUAGUUCUACAUGCAAGGGCAGCGAAGACGACGACACUGAAGACGCUGGAGGUACCUGUAAAUGUUCCUAGUUCUACUACUCCUUUGACUUCUGCGCUGGGAAGAUCUCGCCGUGGUGUUCUACAGUAACUCGAAGCUUUGCUGCUGCUUCUGCACGGGGUCUUCUGGUGCCCUUCUUUCCUGUCCUGAAGCUCGUCCUCCCGCGGACGGUCGACAACCUUUAUACGGGAUCUCCGUUAUUAUUUUACCAAUAAUAACAUAAAGGAACAAGUACUAUUAACAGAUAACAAGUACGAUAUUAACAUAAUCGACCUUUGGCAUUAUGUACACACUUAUGCAUCUGGUGUUGUACAGGGACCACUCGGAGAUCAACUGAUCGAGCAACUAGUUAUCUACCAAUAUCAAAGGACCGGUACCUGUAACCUACAGUAACUAUUGCCCUAGUGUAGUAAUUCUCUUAUUACACUACCUGUUCUG
rnacentral:rRNA from 1 species